rnacentral:rRNA from 1 species
CAAUAGCGUAUAUUAAAGUUGCUGCAGUUAAAAAGCUCGUAGUUGGAUUUCUGGCAGGAGCGACCGGUCACACACUCUGUGUGUGAACUUGCGUUGUCUCUGGCCAUCCUUGGGAAGAUCCUGUUUGGCAUUAAGUUGUCGGGCAGGGGAUACCCAUCGUUUACUGUGAAAAAAUUAGAGUGUUUAAAGCAGGCUUAUGCCGUUGAAUAUAUUAGCAUGGAAUAAUAAGAUAGGACUUCGGAACUAUUUUGUUGGUUUGCGUUACGAAGUAAUGAUUAAUAGGGACAGUUGGGGGUAUUCGUAUUUCGUUGUCAGAGGUGAAAUUCUUGGAUUUCCGAAAGACGAACUACUGCGAAAGCAUUUACCGAGGAUGUUUUCAUUAA